ensembl:snoRNA
UGGGCCCUUUCACAGGCCCUCUCCUCGGCAGUGGGGCCAGGAUUGGGUUGCUGGUGCCGAGAGAAAGCCCUUGAUGGCAUCCUUGCCCUGGUACUGUACCAGUGGCAGCUGUCACUUAAUGGAACAAAG